CCUACGGGGGGCAGCAGUGGGGAAUAUUGCACAAUGGGCGCAAGCCUGAUGCAGCCAUGCCGCGUGUGUGAAGAAGGCCUUCGGGUUGUAAAGCACUUUCAGCGGGGAGGAAGGCGGUGAGGUUAAUAACCUCAUCGAUUGACGUUACCCGCAGAAGAAGCACCGGCUAACUCCGUGCCAGCAGCCGCGGUAAUACGGAGGGUGCAAGCGUUAAUAGGAAUUACUGGGCGGAAAGCGCACGCAGGCGGUCUGUCAAGUCGGAUGUGAAAUCCCCGGGCUCAACCUGGGAACUGCAUUCGAAACUGGCAGGCUAGAGUCUUGUAGAGGGGGGUAGAAUUCCAGGUGUAGCGGUGAAAUGCGUAGAGAUCUGGAGGAAUACCGGUGGCGAAGGCGGCCCCCUGGACAAAGACUGACGCUCAGGUGCGAAAGCGUGGGGAGCAAACAGGAUUAGAUACCCUUGUAGUC
rnacentral:rRNA from 1 species